AAAAACAAAAGGAAAAACGAAUAAUGACAAGAGAAGAAAGGUAAAGAGAAAAGAAGAAAAAAGCCAAGUCAAAAAGUAAAGAAUAACUCGAAGGAAGGAGUGGAUGGCAAGAAAUACAGAGAAAGCAGUGCAUAGCACAGCAGAGCAAAGCAAGGCAAAAUAGCAGCCAAAGCCACGAGAAUCAAGAAGUCAGUGAAGAGCAGGAAAGGAAUGGAGGAAUCUGGCCAGAGCUGUGCCCCUGCUUGCCACAGGAGCUGCGCGGGAGGAGAAGAACGUGGGCCAAAAGGAAUGGAGGAAUCUGGCCAGAGCUGUGCCCCUGCUUGCCACAGGAGCUGCGCGGGAGGAGAAGAACGUGGGCCAAAAGGUAAGAGGAGCUCCUUUGGGUUCUGGGCUUGAAGCAAAG
ensembl:lncRNA